rnacentral:rRNA from 1 species
UUAAAGUAGAGUGAAAGAGAUUUAAGAAUUUUUUAGUUUGUAGUAAGUAAUUAGUUUUAGUGAAUUAAGGUCACGAAAUUUUAGUUUUUACCUUUAGUAUAAUGGUGCUAAGAAAGAAGCUUGACAGAAGGUUGAGGUCACUAAAUGAAAAGGUAAUAUCAUCUGUAUGAAAGGGAUGUUGCAAUAUCCUUUUUGAAGGAGGUAAGUUUAAAAUAAGAAUCGUUUUUUAUUAUAAAUUGGGAAUGUAGAAAAUAAUCUUUAAGGUUGAGGGCUUAAAGGGACAGCUUUUAAGUCACAAAUGGUAAUCACUUAUUAAAUAAAAAAUUUUUUAAGAUUUUUAUUGUUGUGUUGGAGAAUAUGUUUUAAGUAUUUUGCAAAAAGUAUAAUUUAUUUUAUUUAGGUGAAAUUUUAAAUAAAGUUUGAAGGAGAAUUAAAAGAGGAAUUUGGCAAGUAUUUAAAAAAGUUUUCAGCAAAUAGGUUUACUAAAAACUAAGUUGGCCGAGGGACUGAUGGCCAAUGAAAUCUGCUCAAUGUGAGGCGAAAUAAAUAGCAACUUAAGGUUUUAAUGUAGCGUAAUAAUUUGUCUAUUAAUUGUAGUCUAGUGAAAGGUUGAAAUUUGUUGACUCUCUCUUUUUUAAUUAUUUUGAAAUUCCUAGGAAGUGAAAAUGCUUUCCCAAAAAUAAAAGAAAAAAAGACCCUAGGUAGUUAAAGUUAAUUAGGCUGAAAAAGGAUUUCAAUUUGAGAGGCUUUUGCUGGGGUAGCGACAGUUUAUUGUUUAAUUCCUGUGUGUUUAUGUUUAAAUCUAAAUUUAAAAGAUUACUAACCCUAGGGAUAACAGCGCAAUCAACAAGGAGAGUUCAUAUUAAUUUGUUGGUUUACGACCUCGAUGUCGACUUAUAAUAAGAUUAGGCGCAGCGGCUUAAGACUUGUGUUUGUUCACCACAUAGUAUUUUACGUGAGUUGGGUUAAGAACGGGGCAACUUAGUUUGGAUUUUUUCUUUACGUUAGGUUACCUAUUAGUACGAAAGGAAGUUAGGGUAGGCGUGAGCCGUGGAAAAA